rnacentral:rRNA from 1 species
GAUGAACGCUGGCGGCGUGCCUAAUACAUGCAAGUCGAGCGAACAGAUGAGGAGCUUGCUCCUCUGACGUUAGCGGCGGACGGGUGAGUAACACGUGGAUAACCUACCUAUAAGACUGGGAUAACUUCGGGAAACCGGAGCUAAUACCGGAUAAUAUAUUGAACCGCAUGGUUCAAUAGUGAAAGACGGUUUUGCUGUCACUUAUAGAUGGAUCCGCGCCGCAUUAGCUAGUUGGUAAGGUAACGGCUUACCAAGGCAACGAUGCGUAGCCGACCUGAGAGGGUGAUCGGCCACACUGGAACUGAGACACGGUCCAGACUCCUACGGGAGGCAGCAGUAGGGAAUCUUCCGCAAUGGGCGAAAGCCUGACGGAGCAACGCCGCGUGAGUGAUGAAGGUCUUCGGAUCGUAAAACUCUGUUAUUAGGGAAGAACAAAUGUGUAAGUAACUAUGUACGUCUUGACGGUACCUAACCAGAAAGCCACGGCUAACUACGUG